rnacentral:lncRNA from 1 species
ACAUGCUUUUACAUAAAAAUUCUUCCAGAUUAAAGUGAAGUGUUAUGGAGUUUAGUACCUGCACUUAAAUCUUAAGUAAUCAAAAGACAAAAUAGUUAAGUCAAGCACUAUCCCUCUUGUCUAUACUUCACCUUUGUUCUAGAGUUUUUCAUAAGUUUUCAAAAUAAAACUCAGAGUUCCCAGCAAUGAUUCUCUCAAGUCUCUCUAUAUGUGGUAUUUGUGGAUCCUUACCAUAAUGUCACUUACCUAUCGCUAAUAGAAUAAUUAAGUGGAGCUCAUAGGAGUGGAAAACAGCUCAUACAUAUGUUGUCUAAUCGAGCCAUGGAUCCAAAGGAACUCAGCAUAUAAUUAAAUCAAGAUGUGCAUGUGUGAUGGAGUAAAUGAUAGUGAAAAUGCAUAAGUGAUAAUAAAACUUAGUUCUCAUUGCUCCUCAUAUUGCUAUCUCUCCUCUUCUUUGAUCUUUGCUUUGGGAGAACAUGGGCUAUCUUUUCUUUCUUUUUCUCUUCUUCUUUUUUUUUCUUCAGGUGGGUAGUAGAUACCCCUAAUUCUACUGUCGGACACUUGUCCAUUUUUUCCGCUCAAGUGGGCAUCUUUGUACCCCUAAUUCUACUUCGGACACUUGUCCAUUUUUACAUCUCGUCUCACUCUUUUUCUUUCUUUAUCGAGGUUCCGAGCACUUGCCCCUUUUUAUUUCCUCGUAUAUUUUUGCAUAACCCAUGCCUCUUCUGCAUUGAAUCUUUUUAGAGAGAGAAAAUAACAAUACUCGGGACAGUGAGUGAUAAUAUUUUUAGCAAUUUUAAAUGAUUGAUGAUGAAUGCUGUGGUAGAUGUGUGCAAGUGAAUAUCUUAAUUUAACCACAUGAAAAGCUCCUAAGGGUCUACACAGCUCGAUCAAACUCAAUGUAAAUAUAGUAAAAGAUGUUAUAGCAAGUAUGGCUGUGGUAGGUAGUUUUGUAUACUAGGAACUCAUCAUGUGAUUUGUAAGUUUUCAAAAAUAAAUCUCCAGAACUUAGUGUAGUAGAAACAAGAUAAACAGCAGCUCAACUUUAUAUCAUGCCUUUCUCUUACCUAGACUUUAGUUUUAUGCUUCCCAAAGAUAGUAAUUUCAGUUUUAGUAAUUCCUGGAAGAACUCUAAUAUAAAAUCUAGGUACUUGUAAGUAAGCAAACAGAGCAACUGUUCAUCAUUUCCAUCAUGCAUAUUUUUGGUCUUUUUAUUUUUUCUAG